UACAGAGGUGGCGAGCGUUGUUCGGAUUUACUGGGCGUAAAGGGUGCGUAGGUGGUCUCGCGUGUCGGAUGUGAAAUCCCACUGCUCAACGGUGGAACUGCAUCGGAAACUGUGAGACUUGAGUGCAGGAGGGGAGAGCGGAAUACUUGGUGUAGCGGUGAAAUGCGUUGAUAUCAAGUAGAACACCGGUGGCGUAGGCGGCUCUCUGGAAUGCAACUGACACUGAGGCACGAAAGCUAGGGGAGCAAACAGG
rnacentral:rRNA from 1 species